rnacentral:ncRNA from 1 species
UUCCCUCUGCAAUUUCCCUCAGUAUAGCUGGCGCUCUGGCAGACACACAAAAGAUGCAGUUUUAUCCAUCCGGUCAAGCAAAUGAUUAGAGGUCUUGGGGCUGAAACGAUCUCAACCUAUUCUCAAACUUUCAAUUGGUCAGAAGCCCGGUUCGCUGGUGUGAAGCCGGGCGUGGAAUGCGAGUGCCUAGCGGGCCACUUUUGGUAAGCAGAACUGGCGCUGUGGGAUGAACCGAACGCCUGGUUCAGGUGCCAGAUGCUGACGCUCAUCAGACCCCAGAAAAGGUGUUGGUUGAUAGAGACAGUAGGACGGUGGCCACGGAAGUGGGAAUCCGCUAAGGAGUGUGUAACAACUCACCUGCCCAAUCAACUGGCCCUGAAAAUGUAUGGCGCCGGUGCGACGGGCCCAUACCCGGCCGGCCAUAGCUGAAGGUCGGUCGGAGACAAAGGGGGACCAGAUCCACGGGGGCGCCCGCCCCUGCCCGGCCCAGCACACACCCGCGCACGCUAUGCGAUGACAAGUCCGAGUAGGAGGGCCACUGCGGCGAGCCUUGAUGCCUAGAGCAUGGGCCCGGGUGGAGCAGUUGCAGGUG